rnacentral:snRNA from 1 species
UUUACUUCUCAGCCUUUUGGCUAAGAUCAGUAUAGUAUCUGUUCUAAGUAGUUUUAUGCUCCAUAGAGUGUCCAAAGCUUGCCCACUCAAAGGACCUGUACCCUCUUUAUACUCAAAAGCAUUUUAAGUUAAAAACUUUAUUAAAAUCCAUU